rnacentral:other from 1 species
CAGCCCCUGCUGUGUUUGUGAUUGGGUGUACUUCCUGAGCCAACAUACAAAAAACGGGAACUCCCUCUGGCUCCGGUGUGCAGGUCAGGAAACUGAAAGCCUAAAGGAGCCACGGAGUGCCCACCUUAGAACAGCGGUUCAAGGCCGGCUGUCCAACACGGCACAAUGCGGGGGCGUU